rnacentral:lncRNA from 1 species
CUUCUGGCUGCAAAUGUCCCGACGGAUGCCAGUCAUAUCAAGGAUAUUUCAACAUAUCUACAGUAGGAACUGGACUGAGAUUCAGCGAUGAGGUUAAUUGGGUAGCUGAUGGAUAUAAAGCGGGAAUAUCGGACUUCAUGAGAAAUGAUGAGAGCACGAUAAUUUCUGCGAGAUGCGGAGGUCACUGCGGCUGGUGUGCUCCUGACGGACCCUUGCGUGUGUAUUAUAAUGAACGAGAUGUUGUAGCAGACGACAAAGCAACUACCCCUGAAUGUAUUUAAUCGGACACACUGGGUUGUUAAUGGAAUUGCGACAUCAUCAGUUAUUUUUGUACUUUGAUUUAAUUGAUAACGUGUGAAAUUUCAAUUAAGGAUAUUUAGUCUAAUUUGUACGUGCGAAU